AUGGUGGAGGUCUCCACCAUGGGCAACGUAAUCCUGGUCCGCGGCUGGCAGACGUUUGCCCGUGCGCACGGCCUAAGCAGGCGGUGUACCCUCCACUUCAAGUAUGAUGGCACCGUAACCCUCUUCGUGCGGGUGUUUGGGAAAUAUGGUCGUCGUGCAGGGUGCUUCCCCGAAGACAGCGACGGUGAUGGUGAGCUCCGACUAGGCGACAGCCAUGACGAGGCUGAGGGAGAGCUUGCCCAUGGCGAAGGCCAUGGUUCUCCCAGCGGCGGCAGCUUCUCCACCAGCGAGAGCACCAGAAGCAGCGGCGAUGACCAGCCGCCUCGCCACCGGUCCCACUUCGAGGACGGCGGCGGGUCGUCCCGCCACCGCGCGGCGCCGAAGCGCGAGAGGGACUCUGAUUGA
rnacentral:rRNA from 1 species